rnacentral:rRNA from 5 species
AGAGUUUGAUCAUGGCUCAGAUUGAACGCUGGCGGCAGGCCUAACACAUGCAAGUCGAACGGUAACAGGAAACAGCUUGCUGUUUCGCUGACGAGUGGCGGACGGGUGAGUAAUGUCUGGGAAACUGCCUGAUGGAGGGGGAUAACUACUGGAAACGGUAGCUAAUACCGCAUAAUGUCGCAAGACCAAAGAGGGGGACCUUCGGGCCUCUUGCCAUCGGAUGUGCCCAGAUGGGAUUAGCUUGUUGGUGGGGUAACGGCUCACCAAGGCGACGAUCCCUAGCUGGUCUGAGAGGAUGACCAGCCACACUGGAACUGAGACACGGUCCAGACUCCUACGGGAGGCAGCAGUGGGGAAUAUUGCACAAUGGGCGCAAGCCUGAUGCAGCCAUGCCGCGUGUAUGAAGAAGGCCUUCGGGUUGUAAAGUACUUUCAGCGGGGAGGAAGGGAGUAAAGUUAAUACCUUUGCUCAUUGACGUUAUCCGCAGAAGAAGCACCGGCUAACUCCGUGCCAGCAGCCGCGGUAAUACGGAGGGUGCAAGCGUUAAUCGGAAUUACUGGGCGUAAAGCGCACGCAGGCGGUUUGUUAAGUCAGAUGUGAAAUCCCCGGGCUCAACCUGGGAACUGCAUCUGAUACUGGCAAGCUUGAGUCUCGUAGAGGGGGGUAGAAUUCCAGGUGUAGCGGUGAAAUGCGUAGAGAUCUGGAGGAAUACCGGUGGCGAAGGCGGCCCCCUGGACGAAGACUGACGCUCAGGUGCGAAAGCGUGGGGAGCAAACAGGAUUAGAUACCCUGGUAGUCCACGCCGUAAACGAUGUCGACUUGGAGGUUGUGCCCUUGAGGCGUGGCUUCCGGAGCUAACGCGUUAAGUCGACCGCCUGGGGAGUACGGCCGCAAGGUUAAAACUCAAAUGAAUUGACGGGGGCCCGCACAAGCGGUGGAGCAUGUGGUUUAAUUCGAUGCAACGCGAAGAACCUUACCUGGUCUUGACAUCCACGGAAGUUUUCAGAGAUGAGAAUGUGCCUUCGGGAACCGUGAGACAGGUGCUGCAUGGCUGUCGUCAGCUCGUGUUGUGAAAUGUUGGGUUAAGUCCCGCAACGAGCGCAACCCUUAUCCUUUGUUGCCAGCGGUCCGGCCGGGAACUCAAAGGAGACUGCCAGUGAUAAACUGGAGGAAGGUGGGGAUGACGUCAAGUCAUCAUGGCCCUUACGACCAGGGCUACACACGUGCUACAAUGGCGCAUACAAAGAGAAGCGACCUCGCGAGAGCAAGCGGACCUCAUAAAGUGCGUCGUAGUCCGGAUUGGAGUCUGCAACUCGACUCCAUGAAGUCGGAAUCGCUAGUAAUCGUGGAUCAGAAUGCCACGGUGAAUACGUUCCCGGGCCUUGUACACACCGCCCGUCACACCAUGGGAGUGGGUUGCAAAAGAAGUAGGUAGCUUAACCUUCGGGAGGGCGCUUACCACUUUGUGAUUCAUGACUGGGGUGAAGUCGUAACAAGGUAACCGUAGGGGAACCUGCGGUUG